rnacentral:rRNA from 1 species
GCAAGUCUGGUGCCAGCAGCCGCGGUAAUUCCAGCUCCAAUAGCGUAUAUUAAAGUUGUCGCAGUUAAAAAGCUCGUAGUUGAACCUCGGGAUCAAUGGAUCGGUCAUGCCAUCGGUAUGUACUGGUCUCAUUGGUUCUCACCUUCUAAGGAACCAUGAUGUCAUUCAGUUGAUGUUGUGGGGAAUUAGGACUGUUACCUUGAAAAAAUUAGAGUGUUUAAAGCAGGCUAACGCUUGAAUACAUUAGCAUGGAAUAAUGAAAUAGGACAUCGCAUUCUAUUUUGUUGGUUUCUAGGAUCGAUGUAAUGAUUAAUAGGGAUAGUUGGGGGCAUUAGUAUUCAAUUGUCAGAGGUGAAAUUCUUGGAUUUAUUGAAGACUAACUACUGCGAAAGCAUUUGCCAGGGAUGUUUUCAUUAAUCAAGAACGAAAGUUUGGGGAUCGAAGACGAUCAGAUACCGUCGUAGCCUUAACCAUAAACUAUGCCGACUAGGGAUCGGAUGAUGUUGAUUUUUUAAUGACUCAUUCGGCGCCUUACGAGAAAC